AUGUGUGUGUGUCUCUGUAUGUAUGUGUGUCUGUGUCUCUGUAUGUGUGUGUGUCUGUGUCUCUGUAUGUCUCUGUACAUGUGUGUGUGUGUCUCUGUACGUGUGUGUGUCUCUGUAUGUGUUUGUGUCUAUGUCUCUGUAUGUGUGUGUGUGUGUCUCUGUAUGUAUGUGUGUCUCUUUAUGUAUGUGUGUGUAUGUGUGUGUGUAUG